UGGGGAAUAUUGCACAAUGGGCGCAAGCCUGAUGCAGCCAUGCCGCGUGUGUGAAGAAGGCCUUCGGGUUGUAAAGCACUUUCAGCGAGGAGGAAGGGUUCAGUGUUAAUAGCACUGUUCAUUGACGUUACUCGCAGAAGAAGCACCGGCUAACUCCGUGCCAGCAGCCGCGGUAAUACGGAGGGUGCAAGCGUUAAUCGGAAUUACUGGGCGUAAAGCGCACGCAGGCGGUUUGUUAAGUCAGAUGUGAAAUCCCCGCGCUUAACGUGGAAC
rnacentral:rRNA from 1 species